ensembl:lncRNA LINC01501 long intergenic non-protein coding RNA 1501
ACUUCGUUAUUGGCACAACAGCUUCUGGAAAUCUGUUUCACAGAGAGUAUGGGGGCUUCUUUGGCCAAAUGGAGUGGGUACUUAUGAGUUCGGUCAGUGCCUGAGGGAGCACUCACUUCCUUGCCUGGUCAUAUUUUCAUUGGUGCAGGCUCCGUCUGCUUGGCAGCCACUGUUUGGGCCACAGCCUGUCCGCAGGGUCCUGCUCCUCUCUAAUUUGUUCAGACAUUGUGGUGUGUCUGGCCAUAUCAUUUGUCAUAGGUGUAAAAACAAUCACAACCAAAGCUUAAAGCUGUUGGGAUGAGCAGCUGCCUGGGAAUCACGCUCCUUCCUGCUCUUUCCAAAAAGCCAGGUGCCGCCGGCCAGCAUCCCGCUCCCUUUGACCCGCAGUCUGUGCGGGAAGUAGGCCCGGAGUGGUGCCAGCAGGAGGUGGCCUUAGAAAGGCGGAGACCCAAGGAGCAGAGUGAGUCGGCGUCCAGCUCCACCUGAAAGCGCCAUCUUGUCGCCACUUCCCUCAGGAGCAGGAAGAAGAAGAGAUUUUGGAGUAGCAAUGGAAUAAUGACUGGAGACUGCAAGAGCAUGCCCAGCCUCUUGCAUAGGAAGAAGUGGUAAGCUAAGGAGAGAAAUGCAGGGUUCCUAGUACACCAAUUUUCCAACUUUUUCAUCUUGGCCCUGCUUUAAAAUGAUGCAUCUACUGUCUUCAUGCCUCAGCACAGCAGAGAAAACCAUGCUGUGUUCCAGUUUACUUUGAAUGUUUCAGUGAAAAUGAUGAAGCUGAAAAAAUGACGGAGGCCCGUUUUACAUUGCAUUUCUCAGAGUCAUCGCCUCUGCUGCAGAUGGAACAACAGCCAUGGAGAAUGAGGGUCACCUGAAUGUGGAAAAGUUGAGUUGGAGCAAAACUGGCACGGCCAUACUGGAUGGACCUCAGCAUGACCAGGACACAUUUCAGCUCAAAUCCCCUGUGCCAAGAACACAUUCUGCCAAGGACCACCACCUCUUCCCACAACUAGAGCUGGCUUACCAGAGCACCGAUGGACUUGGAUACCUGAGAUAUCUGCUUGGGAUCCCACACUUUCAAGGUCUCUCCUCUGGCCUUCUUCUGGUUCUGCGACUCCUUACAGCGCUGGGAGUUGGUGAUGCCAACAGGACAUACGCUCCCAGAGCCUACCUCUCCCAGAUCACUUUAAAAGGCACCCAGGACCCCAGAAUUCUCAUCCUCAAAGGCAUGGAGCUCAGCUCUUGGCCCUCAACAAAUCUCUUCCCCAUAAAGAUCCUUUUGAGAGCUUAGGAUGUCCCCCGGAUGGUUUUGGUUGCAGAUUGUGGUGGUGGAGGGAGCUAUACAAUUUAAUCUAUUGCCAUUAAUUGGAUGCGCUAAUGGCAGAUUGGGUAGUGAUAAUGCCAUAAGAGGUAGUGUGUGAGCCGUGUGCUGCAUCUGUGCUAGCUCAGGUAAGUCAGCACACAGCACCUGCAGCCUCCUCUCACCUCUUCCCUGAGCAGCACCUUUUCACCUGAACAUGCUGAUCCCCUAGUGCUUCAUCUUGACAGCAACUUAACAAGCCCUGGGCAGCUUUUUAAAAUAAAUGACUAUGAUAUUGACUAUGAAUCUACAUAAAAGCCACUUGUUUUUUAGUCAUAAUCUGUGUCUAACUGCAGAAGAAAUUCACACCUUUGAAAAACAAAUAAAAAUGUAAAAAGUGAAAAUUGUUUGUAACCACAAUAUUCUGAAAUAGAACCUUUUUGUUAGAUCAUUUUCAAGAGGAUUUUUCAUACUUUCCUACAGUAAUACCAAUGUAUAUGCACUUGUAUAAAUUCUUGGUUAAAAUA